ensembl:lncRNA
CGGAAAUUUCCACGUGUUUGCGACAGACACAAGAGGAAGAGUGAGAAGGAUGAGGGGGGAAGCCUGAGUUUCUUCUCGUGAAAGAAGGAAAAAUGUAUAGGAAAUAGGCCUGUCAACGAACAGAGACUGGAUUUGUACGGUUUUAAGCUAUAUCAAGGAAAUAACUUACUUAUUUCAACCAAGACACAUCAGGAAAUAGUCGUUCCUCGGACGUUCUCUGCCAGAAUUAGAUUGAGAGGCUCCAGGUCAGUGGGUGUAGUGGAGUAGAGGCAUCCCAGGGAGGAGUGAGAUUCUGGGGAUGAGAGGUACCUCCUCCCUCCCUGUCUCCCGCAGAGAAUCAGG